rnacentral:rRNA from 1 species
CCUACGGGUGGCAGCAGUGGGGACUAUUGGGCAAUGGGCGCAAGCCUGACCCAGCAACGCCGCGUGAAGGAAGAAGGCUUUCGGGUUGUAAACUUCUUUUCUCAGGGACGAAGCAAGUGACGGUACCUGAGGAAUAAGCCACGGCUAACUACGUGCCAGCAGCCGCGGGAAUACGUGGGUGGCAAGCGUGAUCUGGAUUUUCUGGGUGUAAAGGGCGGGUAGGCGGGACUGCAAGGACGAUGUGAAAACCAUGGGCUCAACCGACGGCCUGCAUUUGAAACUGUAGUUCUUGAGUACGGGAGAGGCAGACGGAAUUCCUAGUGUAGCGGUGAAAUGCGUAGAUAUUAGGAGGAACACCAGUGGCGAAGGCGGUCUGCUGGACAGCAACUGACGCUGAGGCGCGAAAGCGUGGGGAGCAAACAGGAUUAGAUACCCCUGUAGUC